rnacentral:rRNA from 1 species
UGCAGUCGAACGGGAAGGUGACCUUCGGGUUACUGGAGAGUGGCGGACGGGUGAGUAAGACGUGGAUGACCUGCCCUGGAGCGGGGGACAACUGCUGGAAACGGCAGCUAAUACCCCAUAAGCUUGGUAGUAUUAGAAGGUAUCAAGUAAAGUUUUUAGGGACGCUUUAGGAGGGGUCUGCGGGCUAUCAGCUAGUUGGUGGGGUAAAGGCCUACCAAGGCGAAGACGGCUAGGGGGCGUGAGAGCGCGACCCCCCACAAUGGGACUGAGACACGGCCCAUACUCCUACGGGAGGCAGCAGUGAGGAAUAUUGCACAAUGGGGGCAACCCUGAUGCAGCAAUGCCGCGUGAAUGAAGAAGGCCUUCGGGUCGUAAAGUUCUUUUCUAUGUGAAGAGAGAGGACGGUAGCAUAGGAAUAAGUCCCGGCUAACUACGUGCCAGCAGCCGCGGUAAAACGUAGGGGGCGAGCGUUAUCCGGAAUUACUGGGCGUAAAGCGCAUGCAGGCGGUUUGGUAAGAUAGACGUGAAAGCUCCUGGCUUAACUGGGAGAGGACGUAUGUGACUGCCAGACUUGAGUGAGGUAGAGGAGAGCGGAAUUCCCGGUGUAGUGGUGGAAUGCGUAGAGAUCGGGAGGAACACCAGUGGCGAAAGCGGCUCUCUGGGCCUUAACUGACGCUCAGAUGCGAAAGCGUGGGGAGCGAACGGGAUUAGAUACCCCGGUAGUCCACGCUGUAAACGAUGGAUACUAGGUGUAGCGGGUAUUGACCCCUGCUGUGCCGGAGCAAACGCGAUAAGUAUCCCGCCUGGGGACUA